GCAUCCACGGAUCCCGGCCCAGUCCAGCUUUGUUUGCUCGGAGACGGCACAUCCAUGGAUUAGGCUGCUUGCUGGAGAAGAGACCAUAAUUGGCCCGAUGACAUCGCCACCACUUUGUGUUUCCUGUUUCUCAGCUGGAGUCGGAGCGCAAUUGAGGGAGAAUUGUUUUGCAGUUCGACUCUUUCAUUAAGAAACAGCAAAGCAUUCCCUAGAAGUUGGAGCAUCGUUUGGCGAAGUUUUACCAUCGUCUCGGGACAAUAGGAUGCUAAGCGGUGCUUCAGCAGGUAGACGAGGCUAAAGCAGAGGAGCCAGUGUGAGGUGAUCGUGCGCGGCGGUUGGCUGAGGGGAC